AGCCGGGUCCCGUGCAACGGACGGUCGCCAACCCCGUCAGGCCCGGAAGGGAGCAGCGGUAACGACUGGUUCCGUGUGCCGCGGGGGUGCCUGGCUGUC
rnacentral:SRP_RNA from 1 species